rnacentral:lncRNA from 1 species
GCCUCGGGCCGCGGGACUCGCAGCCGCCACCGCCGCUGCCGCCUCUACGGCCGCGUCAGAACUGAAGAGAGGAAGGGGAGGAGCCGAGUCGAGCCUAAGCUGCCGCCCGAUCUUACCCCUGACCCGAGGGCGGCCUGGAGAGCUUGGUCUGUAGCGGUUUCCUUCGGGGCAGGUGGGGACUGCUCCUUUGGGAGGAAGGAGGAGGCCCAGGCCGCGUCUUCAGGCAGCUGCGCGCACCACCCGAAGACAGGGUUUCACUGUGUCACAAAGGCUGGAGUACAGCGGUUAAAUCAUAGCUCAUUGAAGUCGUGAACUCCUGGACUCAAGCGUUCCUCCUGCCUCCGCUUCUCAAGCAGCUAGGACUAUAGGCACUUGCCACCACCCAGCGAAUUUUUUUAUUGUUUAUAGAGACGGGGUCUCACUGUGUUGCCCAGGCUGGUCUCAAACGCCAGGACUCAAGCAAUCCUCCAGCCUCAGCCUCAGGUGUGAGCCACCAUGCCCACCCUAUAAACUUUUUUUUCUUUACUUUUUUCUUUUUCUUUUUUUUUUUUUUUUUUUGAGACAAAGUCUCACUCUAUCACCCAGGGUGGAGUGCAUUGAUGUGAACACAGCCCACUGCAGCCUCAACCUGGGCUCAAUGGAUUCUCCUGCCUCAGCUUCCUGAGGCCACAGGGAUGCACCACCACACCCAGCUAAUAAACUUCUUAAAAGUAGGCCUAUAGGGCUUUUUUUUUCUUUACUAUCCAAAAUCAUGCAAUUUUUCAACUAUUGGGCUAUUGCCAGCAAUCCCUCAUGGUGGUUUUUAUUUUUGUUGUAUUUUAGUUUCCUCUGAGAAUAUAAAGGCAAUUUUAAUUCUCUUGAAUCUGUGUAACUAAACUUGGUUUUUGUUGCUUUGUAUUUUUCUCAAGACAAUCGUGUAAAAAGUUGUUUUCCCUGCACAUAUUUUUUUCAUUUCCCAGGUUCAUUGAUUUUUUAAAAGUCACAGUGGCUUUUUCUUUCCUCCUAACAUUCCUGCUACAAUUUAUGGAUUUUUUUUUUAAUUUCACUCAUUUACAUCAAAUACACAACAUUGGUGUCACUGCCUGGCAUAUUUUCCCAACAUACUACAUUUUAUUAUUUUCAUUAAUUUCUUAUCUCUCAGUUCUUUGUUUAGAAUCAGUGAUAUUUUAAAACUGGAGGAAGGUGAGACCCAGAGAAAUUGACUUAGCCAGAGUCAGGAGGGCAAGUAAAUGUGAAGCCCGGACUCCACCCCAAGUCUUCAAAUAACAGUAUGCUUGCCAUUAUAUCACACUGACUCUGUCUUCUGGAACAAUAAGGUAAAUUAAUUCCCAAGGUCUGUAGAAUAUUGUUCAUUUCCACAUGGCAGACCUCUUAUUCUACAAUUGAAUAAGGUUUAUUUUAAGCCUAACAGCUUUAGGAUCAGAUUAAUAUUGAUACUAAUAGAAAUAAUUUUUUAAAAAAUUAAAGAUUAGGCUGGACGCAGUGGCUCAAGUCUGUAAUCCCAGCACUUUGGGAGGCCGAAGCAGGUAGAUCACCUGAGGUCAGGAGUUCGAGACCAGCCUGACCAAAAUGGAGAAACCAUCUCUCUACUAAAAGUACAAAAUUUGCCGGGCAUGGUGGCGCAUGCCUGUAAUCCUAGCUACUCGAGAGGCUGAGGCAAGAGAAUCGCUUGAACCCGGAAGGCAGAGGUUACGGUGAGCCGAGAUCGUGCCAUUGUACUGCAGCCUGGGCAACAAGAGUGAAACUCUGUCUCAAAAAAAAUAAAUAAGUAAAAUAAAGAUUAAUAUAAAUAGUAGCACUAAAAAUGGAUUAAAUGGAAGAAAACUUGCUUUAAAAAAAAUAAAGUUUCUCCACUCUCCCCUUCAUCCCUUAUGGCCAAUCUGUCACUGGUCCCUAUUGCUUCUUCAAAGAAUCGCCAUACUUCCUUAAUAACUGAGAAAAGAGUUUUACCAAAUAAAAGUGUCAAAUGUUGCAGGAAUGCCAUUGGAUUUGGUAAUGAGUUUCUUAAUAAUUUCAUAGUACUGUAAAAAUGUUGGAGGCGCUCAGAAUUUAAUGAUAUUUUAAAAUACAAGAACAGGCCAGGCACAGUGGCUUAUGCCUGUAAUCCCAGCACUUUGGGAGGCCGAGGCAGGCAGAUCACUUGAGGUCAGGAGUUUGAAACUAGCCUGGCCAAAAUUGUGAAACCCUGUCUCUACUAAAAAUACAAAAAUUAGGUGGGUGUGGUGGCUUGCGCCUGUAAUCCCAGCUACUCGGGAGGCUAAGGUAUGAGAAUUGCUUGAACCCAGGAGGCAGAGUUUGCAGUGAGCCAAGAUGGUGCCAGGGCACUCCAGCCUGGGCGACAGAGUGAGACUUUGUCAUAAAAUAAUAAAAUAAAUAAAAUAAAAUAAUUAAAAUACAAAUCAACCUGGAAAACUUACAGACUAAUGAUGAGAUUUCCCCUGCGUUACCUUUCUGAUCAUCUGGGUUUACAAAAAGAUUAAUUCUGAAGAUUAAUGAUAGAUGACUACUGGUUUUAAUAGAAAAUAAAAUAACUAUGAAUCAUUUAUAAUCAUUGAAAAUGUAACCUUUAGCUUUAGAGGAAUCCUUCAGGAUACAAGCCAGUUGGUUUUGUCAUAAAUAGUCAUGAAAUAUUUUAUCAAUAAAAUCCAGCUAUUUUUAAAAUUAAAAAUUGAGUAAAACAGGAUUAAAAAUAACUUUAUAAAAAUAUUAAGGUAGGCUUAAAUGUAACUAAACUUGUAGAGCAAAGCCUUUAAAAUGUUCUGGCUUGAAAUUCAAAGUUAAAUUAUUGAAUUAACACUAGGGAGUUCCCAAAGGGACCAGCUUUAUAAAUAUUAUUAGUAUAUUUUUUGUUUUAACUUCCAAAAGGCAGUAUUGAGUCAAUAAAAUUUUACUGUCACUUACUAUUUUCUAGCACUAGAGCAACGUGCUGAACAUACAGUGAUGAGAAGAGGAAAAAAAAGACCUUGUCCCUCCCUUCAUGGAGCAUACAGUCUGAUACCUAGAAUGUGCCAGACUCAGUGCUUGACCCCAGCCACUACCAUCUAAAAUUAUUUUAUCUAGGCUGGCCACGGUGACUCACGCCUGUAAUCCCAGCACUUUGGGAGGCAAGGCAGGUGGAUCACUUGACCUCAGGAGUUCGAGACCAGCCUGGCCAACAUAGCGAAACCCCCUCUCUACUAAAAAUACAAAAAUUAGCUGGGUGUGGUGGCGCAUGCCUGUAAUCCCAGCUACUCGGGAGGCUGAUGGAGGAGAAUCACUUGAACCCAGAAGGCGGAAGUUGCAAUGAGCCAAGAUCACGCCAUUGCACUCUAGCCUGGGCAACAAGAGCGAAACUCCAUCUCAAAAAAAUUAAAAUAAAAUUAUUUGAUCUAUAUUUCCUGAGGAUGUGGUCUACAAAUAAAUGAGUCACUGCUUGCAUUCUCAGGAUAAACAAAUGGUAUUCUAGAAACCUUCAAUCCUAUUUGUCAUUUUUCAAAUUUUCAUUAUGGCCGUUUUUAAAAAUACAGAAACAUGGCCUGGCAUGGCGACUCACGCCUGUAAUCCCAGCACUUUGGGAGGCCAAGGCAGGUGGAUUGAUUGAGCCCAGGAAUUCGAGACCAGCCUGGGCAAAUUGGUGAAACCCCAUCUCUACAAAAAAUACAAAAAUUAGCUGGGUGUGGUGGCAUACACCUGUAGUCCCAGCCACUCAAGAGGCUGAGGUAGGAGGAUUACCUGACCCAGGGAGGUUGAGGCUGCAGUGAGCUGUGAUCAUGCCACUGCACUCCAGCCUGGGCAACAGAAUGAGAUCCUGUCUCAAAAAAAAAAAAAAAUACAGAAACAUUGAACAUUACAAUAUAUAAUACAACAUAAUGCUCAUAAUACCAUCAUAUGCCCAGGCUAUUUCUCUUCCUUUGCCAUCUUUAUUGCCAUCUAUGUCAUGUUGACUUUUAUCAUAAAACCCAUUCCCUGAUGACUCACAAAUAAGCUGCAGAUCCUCCGGAAUCACAUCCACACUGAUUAUUUUCCCAAUAUUCCCAGCACAAUUCUGUUUAGCUCUCCUUGAUAGAGUGGUGUCUUAAGGCCAUACCCAGCUCUAAAGAAGGCUGAGAAGGCCCCGAGCAUUGUUGCCCAAAGUGAGGUUUAAGGUCUGUUAAUAAGGAAAGCAGAAAGAAUAGUUAUAGGGUAGAAAAUUACCAGUGUCUGACACACUCUUAAAGAUGUUUUUAUUAAACAAAGGGACCAUCUAUCCCAGAGAUGAAAUGCCACUUUCUAAACCCCAGAGGUAACUGCCAUUGGUUUUUCUUUUAAAUGGCAAUUUCCCCCCCAAUGCUUUGCAUACAAGUAUCAGCAAUAUGUUGAGUCUCCUUUUUGGCUUCUUAUAGUUUAAAAAUUCUAGCAAUUUAAUUUCAGGAGCAUUCUUUAAUGUAUGAGUUUGUGGUCUCCAGAUAGUUGGCUUUGUGUCCUGUACAUCAUAAUUGCAAAACACAUUUUGUUGUGCGUGCGUGUGUGUGUGUGUGUGUGUGUGUGUGUGUGUGUGUGUGUGUGAUGGAGUCUCACUCUGUCACCCAGGCUGGAGUACAGUGGCGCGACCUCAGCUCACUGCAACCUUCACCUCCCGAGUUCAAGCGAUUCUCCUGCCUCAGCCUCCCAAGUAGCUGGGACUACAGGCACGUGCCACCACGCCUGUCUAAUUUUUGUAUUUUUAGUAAAGAUGGGGUUUCACCAUGUUGGCCAGGCUAGCGUCGAAUUCCUGAUGGGUGAUCCGCCUGCCUCGGCCUCCCAAAGUGCUGGGAUUACAGGCAUGAGCCACUGCGCCUGGCCAAAACACAUUUUAUUAGUGGUAUUUUCAACUCUUUUUUUUAGGCCCAUAUUUAAGAAUGAUUAUCAUUUCCUUUUAAAACCAAAACUAAACAUUAUGUUUAUUUAUUUUAAAACAAUCUGAAACCUACAGAAAAGUUGCAAGUCCACUACAAAUCACUCUUUUAUAUUGAGCCAUUUGGGCGUCAGUUGCUAACCUGAUGCCCUAUAUGUGGGACAUUCUCCAACAGAAACACAGUACAACAAUUAAAAUUGAUUUUUUAGGCCGGGAAUGGUGGCUCAAGCCUGCAAUCCCAGCACUUUGGGAGACAAAGGUGGAGGACCAUUUGAUGCGAGGAGUUCAAGACCAGCCUUGCCAAUAUGCAAAACCCCAUCCCUACUAAAAAUACAAAAAUUAGCCAGGCAUGGUGGUAAACGCCUAUAAUCCCAGCUACUCAGGAGGCUGAGGCAGGAGAAUCGCUUGAACCUGGGAGGCAGAGGUUGCAGUGAGCUGAGAUCAUGCCACUGCACUGUAGCCUGGGAGGCAGAGGUUGCAGUGAGCUGAGAUCACGCCACUGCACUGUAGCCUGGGAGACAGAGCUACAGUCU